GACGCGUCCCGGGGCCGCCGCCGCCGCCGCCGGGUCCUAGGCGGAGCGGAGAGCAGGAGGACGCGGAGCCGGGCCGCUGGAAGCCGGGGAGCCUCGGCGUCGCCGCCGGCCUGUGCAAACAGACGGACGACGGUGACAGCGCGCAGCCGGCAGGGGAAGGGUGGGAGGGGCCCCCGGGUGCCGGGGGAAUCCCAACGGCUCCAUCUCCCCUCGGUGCAGCUCUGCUGCCCGCGGACCCUUGGACUCAGGAGGCGGCUGGGUGACCCUCCUUCAAAGGCAGGGCAGCCCAGAGGAUUCCUGCCGUCGCCCCUAGGCACCCUGCGACCGUGGGAUUCUUGGAGAGUGUCACCUCUGCUAGAUUUCACUGGGACUCGCCACUGUCUGAUGAGAACAUCUGCCCAGUAUUGUAGAGGUUAUAGAGAAUGGAAAUGUUUAUAGCCCGAAAGGAAGAAAUAAGAAACCGUGUGUCCUAUCAGAGAAUGAAGAUCCUGGGCUAAAAACAAAAGCCUGAAAACACUGACAGAUGAAGCCCAGAACAUUUGGCUGAUCGUUGUAUACUUGAUGAAGAUUUUGUGUCCUUAGUCUGAAAGACAUUCUAAAAUAUUAUAGAUUUAGUUUCUGCCAAUUCAGUUUCUUCCAAGUAAUCCACUUAAUUUCACAGGUGUGGAGGUGGUUAGAAGUCCUCAUACUGGGUGGUAAAUAAAAUGAUUUCUUCUGUUACAUUUACUGAGGAGACUUGAUGCCUUCUUCUGAAGAAAUAAAGGGCUCAUUCAAUUUUGAGAUAAACUUUUAUUGUUUGGAACUCAAAAAUUCCUUUCACAGGAAAAAUAACAAUGCUAUUUUCAGUUGGGGGGAAAAGGGUUUUAAAUUAAAUUCUAAAAUCCUAUUAUGUGCUUAUUACAUACUAAUGUGAGUUCAUCUUUUUGGUAAAAUGAACACCCAAGCAUGUUUGUAUGCAGUUUAUGCCCGUUCCAAGACUCUAAAAAGCUGGCACAGAUUCGGGCAAGAAAAAUGUGUCUAUUUCCUCUCAAUAUGUCUACUGUUUGAAUUAAAUAUACUGGAGACUGGUGUAA